rnacentral:rRNA from 1 species
UACGUAGGUGGCAAGCGUUGUCCGGAUUUACUGGGCGUAAAGAGCGCGCAGGCGGUCGUUCAAGUCGCGUGUGAAAGCCCCCGGCUCAACUGGGGAGGGUCACGCGAUACUGAUCGACUGGAAGGCAGGAGAGGGUAGUGGAAUUCCUGGUGUAGCGGUGGAAUGCGCAGAUAUCAGGAGGAACACCGGUGGCGAAGGCGGGUCUCUGGGCAGUAACUGACGCUGAGGAGCGAAAGCCAGGGGAGCAAACGGG